AUGGAAAGCCUGGUAAGUGGAGCACUGGAGCGCCUUCUAACUAGCAGAGCCCAAUUCACUGUUUUGUACAUAGAUGAGAAAUUUGCUUGCUGCCACUCAUCUAAUAUCAAUGUUUCUGUUCCAUGUGGAACUAACAGUUCACAUCUCCAGCUCUACUGCUUUGUUGUUGUACACAAAAGCUUUUGUAACCACGAUGCUGAUAUACCUAUGAUAGUUCAUUCUUCGCAAACAAGAAAUUCUACAUGCUGCGGAGAACCACAUCUACAACAGAUCAGGUUACUUGGUGUGAACAAAUUGGAUGGGCCACAACUUAGUUUGUCUCACGUGAGUUUACACUAUUACAAAAAAUUACUACAGAUGUAG
rnacentral:rRNA from 1 species